rnacentral:rRNA from 1 species
UACGGGGGGGGCAAGCGUUGUUCGGAAUUACUGGGCGUAAAGGGCUCGUAGGUUGCCAACUAAGUCGGACGUGAAAUCCCUCAGCUUAACUGGGGAACUGCGUCCGAUACUGGAUGGCUUGAGUUUGGGAGAGGGAUGCGGAAUUCCAGGUGUAGCGGUGAAAUGCGUAGAUAUCUGGAGGAACACCGGUGGCGAAGGCGGCUCUCUGGACGGAUACUGACGCUGAGGCGCGAAAGCGUGGGGAUCAAACAGG